rnacentral:lncRNA from 1 species
UUUCGGAUAAGAACGAGAUGACAAUUGAUCACUGUGGUUCUUCUCUUCACUUCGGAAUUCCUUUCGUAGUAACCUUAAAACCGAACGGUGAGUACCUGCAAGUUAGCACUCCAACGCUCAAGUCAGCAAAGUUACUCCAGUAAUGAUAUUCANNNNNNNNNNNNNNNNNNNNNNNNNNNNNNNNNNNNNNNNNNNNNNNNNNNNNNNNNNNNNNNNNNNNNNNNNNNNNNNNNNNNNNNNNNNNNNNNNNNNNNNNNNNNNNNNNNNNNNNNNNNNNNNNNNNNNNNNNNNNNNNNNNNNNNNNNNNNNNNNNNNNNNNNNNNNNNNNNNNNNNNNNNNNNNNNNNNNNNNNNNNNNNNNNNNNNNNNNNNNNNNNNNNNNNNNNNNNNNNNNNNNNNNNNNNNNNNGCAACAUUAUGCGAGCCAACCAAUCAUCUCACACAAUCAUAUCUUUCCCUAUCGGUGUGAGUUCGCUCCCGAUCUUCCUUUUUGUAAUCCCGAUCGAUCUAAAUCCCCUUUGUACUACAUAAGCCCCCCAAGCCCCUAGCGAUAAUAAGAGCGUAGGGGUUUCACAAUAAUCAUGAUCGUUGUUUGAAGAGAUAUGGCGGAUGAAGGGUUUUAACUCCCGAAAAGACGCUUCAUCUUCAACCGUAGGAUGGGAAAUCAGGGAUGGCUGAGAUUAACCCAUGAUGUCACCACUAGGGACGUGAACAGGCGUGAAAUCUUUACCGUUAGAUUUAAAGGGAAUAAACGGUGGAGAUGAGGACACGAAACCGUUUAUCUCGGCUAUAAAAAGGGGGGAGGGACCACUGUCAUUUUCACUCUGCAUAGUUCAUCCGCAAGUGAAUCCUGAACGUGUUAUUGCAAUUGCCGAUCGUCGUGUGAAACAAGGUAAUGUCGUGUGAAACAAGGUAAUGUCUACCUCUUCUCCAUCAACUGAGAAGUCUGGUGAUGACCGUUCGGGGGGUACUGAUCGUAGGGUUUCAUCAUCGUCAAAGUCAUCUUCUAGUAAUUCCAGUGAUUCUAGUAGCUCGUUCGGUCACUUUUAUGUGGAAUUUAAUAUUGACGAUUCCCGGACAUGGACAUCUAUUAUAGCACCGCCCAGGGUAGAAGGGUAUGAGUGGGCUCCCCAUGAGGUACAAACCUAUCUUCCUUAUUACAUUCGUAGAGCAACCAUAAGACAUCUAUUGCAAAAGGUAUAUAUACUAUCUGACUUUAGGGAGGUUGAUAAUUAUACACUAGUAGUAUGUCGUUCGAAUGAGAGAGCAUGUCAUGGUCGGGAGGGGUAUGGUUUAGAUUUUUUCUAUGUAUAUAUUACUUUGUUCAAAGAUCUAGGCGUACGACUUCCCUUUACUGAAUUUCAAAUGGGAGUACUGAAAUACUUGAAUAUAUGCCCUGCCCAACUUCACCCCAACGGGUGGGCUUGCAUGCAAGCCUUCCAGGUGUUAUGCACCGGCCUACAAUUUGACCCCACCCCUAAGUCUUUUUGGUAUUUCUUCCGAGUCUUCCCUAACUCCAGUAGGUCUUGGGUUUCCCUCCUUCCAGCCAAAGAUAAACAAUUAUUCACUUCUUUUAACUCUUCAUAUAAGGACUUUAAGGCAAAUUACUGUAAAAUAGCUAUCCGCGAACCCAGUUGGCCAAAAUAUUUUCUGAACGAUGGUGAACCAAAAUUUCCUUUAUAUUGGACCGAAGAGCCCACCCGGUUAGAAUCGUGGCCAACCACAGAUAUGAGUAAGGAUGAGUUGAAGAUCAUUAAUAAGAUCGAUCAGUUACCCCGCAAGACGUCAUCCCGCAUGUUGAUAAAACUUCUUGGCACCGAUGAGUUAUAAAAUAAAGUGUUAGGUACGUCUUGCAUCCAAUUGUUUACCGAUCGUCUAUCAUUAUUGACUUGCCUAAAUUUAUUUUUUAUUUGCAGAACUAUUUGAAGGAAUGGACCAGCAUGAUGCUUUUGCUCGAUUGAUGGCUCAGAAGAAGUUGAAGAAAGUUGCUGAGAGUUCCUUUUCCCCUGCGUCACCAGCAAAACCCACUCCUACGGUUAACCCAGCCUUGAAAAUAUCUGAUUCGGUAGAGGAUGUGGUCGAAACUAAGGCUACCAAAUCCCAUGCCACAAGAGGCAAACCCAAAAGGAAAGCAGAGAAAACGCCUUCCCCACCCAAGAAACAAAAAAUAAGCCUGCCGCUACUGACCGGGCCAUUGGACCCGAACGUUCAUGUAUCUGACUGAUUGUAGUUCAACCUCACACCUGAGGAAAGGAAACCGUUCAAGGACAUGACGCCUAGUGAAUCCCUCAACAUGGCAUAUGAAUUGAUAGCUCGAGCGAGCAUUUGUUUAAAUUACUCUGCUGGGACGACCAAACCAUUGUUGGUGAAUGAGCUGGAAAUGGCCAUGAAUGAGUUGGCGGAAUUCAAGAAGAAGAAUAUUGCUUUGACUUUACGUGUUGAGGACUUGACUAAGGCAGCCAAGGAUGAUCGGGUGAAGGCGACGGAUCAACUGAACGAGUCACAGAAAGAGGUUGCCAGUCUUAAAUCUUCCACGGACACCCUGAAGAAAAGCGUUGAAGAGUUGACCAACAACAACAAAAGCUUAACGAAGGAGCGUGAUGACCUGAUCGUUGAGCGAGAUAAUUUGGUCGCGGAAACUGUCCGAUUGGGGGAUCAAGUGUGCUUGGAAAGGGAAUUAGGGUUUGAGCAAGGAAUUGCCCAAUGUCACUAUUUCUUCAACACUCCCCUGACCGAUCCAAGCUUUGACAUCAUGAAGGUGGUUGUUGAUGGGAACUUGAUUGACCUAGGUAGCCAAGUCAUGGCAAAUACCGAAAACGUAGAAACAGUGGUGGAUGGUCGGGUGUCUACUGCUACCGAUCUGGCGCAUAAUACUACCGAUCCUACCGACAAAAGCUGAAGAACAAUUUGGAAUAAUAGCUAUAUAGGAAUGUUAGUGUCGUUUUUGAACAAUUGUUAUUAUAUAAGUUUGCCAUGUUAAAUGUUGUAUGAACACCUUUAGUAGUAUCUUCGUAAUAUGUUGUCAUUUGAGUAGUAUGAUAACUUCCUUAUUCCCCACGAAAAUAUAAUGAUCUUCGUUAUCGUUCGAAAAUAUGAAGAGUAUCUUUCCCGAUCGGAUAGUUAAUUGCAUUCACCUUGUUCUCCAAUAAGCGUUAGCCGAUCGAAUUAACAUUGUAAGCUCCUUAUUCCCCGAUAGGUAUCACUUAAUUCGGAAAUACAAAUAAAACAUAAGAAAAUGAAUAAUUUGAUCGAAAAGAUAGUAAGCUCCUUAUUCCCCUUCCCCGAUAGGUAUCACCUUAUUCACCAAUAAGAAUAACAACAUAAGAAAAUGAGUAAUUUGAUCAAAAGGAUNNNNNNNNNNNNNNNNNNNNNNNNNNNNNNNNNNNNNNNNNNNNNNNNNNNNNNNNNNNNNNNNNNNNNNNNNNNNNNNNNNNNNNNNNNNNNNNNNNNNNNNNNNNNNNNNNNNNNNNNNNNNNNNNNNNNNNNNNNNNNNNNNNNNNNNNNNNNNNNNNNNNNNNNNNNNNNNNNNNNNNNNNNNNNNNNNNNNNNNNAUAGUAAGCUCCUUAUUCCCCUUCCCCGAUAGGUAUCACCUUAUUCACCAAUAAGAAUAACAACAUAAGAAAAUGAGUAAUUUGAUCAAAAGGAUUGUACCGAACGGAUCAUAAAUAUAACUUAUGAGUUUAUUCAUAAAAUUUUGCAAAUAGCAUGGACAGGUGAGUAUAUAGGACCACCUCGCCUUAUUCCCCAUACACAACGAAUAGAAUUAUGAAUCAACUAAAGUAAAACUUCAAAUGAGAUGCGUUCCAAGUGUUCGGUAUAGUGUCGCCCGUUAAGUGUUCCAAGCGAUAAGCUCCGUUGUUCAAGUCUUCUUUCACCCUGAACAGUCCAUCCCAGUUCGCUGCUAGUUUCCCUUCAGUAGGAGCUUUCCUUGCAUCUGCUGUCUUACGCCAGACCAGAUCCCCUUCCAUGAAUCGUCGGGGUCUCACCUUAGUAUUAUAUCUUCGGGCUACCAACCUCUUGUAUGCUUCAUUUUUGAUAGCCGCUACAUGACGUCGUUCGUCUAUCACAUCCAAAUUACUUCUAAGCUGUUCAUUAUUGACCAUCAUAUCUGACAAUUGUCUUCUUACGGUCGGUUCCCCAACCUCCACAGGUAGCAUAGCGUCUGUUCCAUAGGUCAGAUUGAACGGCGACUCUCCCGUUGAACCAUGUGGGGAACAACGGUAACCCCACAAAACGUGAUCGAUCUCGUCUACCCAACCUCCUUUAGCUUCUCCUAAGCGCUUCUUGAGUUCAUUAACUAUGAUUUUGUUUGCUGCUUCAGCUUGACCAUUCGUUUGGGGAUGUUCCACCGAACUUGUGAUGCUUGUGAUGCCUAACUCCUUAUAAAAGCUUUGUAAUCGCUUGUCUAUGAAUUGUCUUCCAUUGUCUGUUAUUAUCGUCUUCGGUAGGCCGAAUCUACAUAUGAGAUGCCAUAUAAAUCGUUUAACCUGUGCGGUGGAAAUUCUAGCCAGUGGUUCAGCCUCGACCCAUUUGGUAAAGUAAUCUACAGCAACCAGGAGAAACUUCUUUUGAGAUCGACCGAGCGGGAAUGGUCCCACUAUAUCCAUACCCCACUGAGCGAACGGCCAAGGGGCAAAUAUGUUGUGUAACUCUGACGCCGGGGCAUGAAAAACGUUACCGUGCUUCUGGCAUGAUACGCACUUUUGUGAGAAAGAUAAACAAUCCUGUUCCAAUGUAGGCCAAAAGAAUCCAGCCCUCAGAACACAUGCUUUCAGUGCUCGCCCCCCUGUAUGUCUGCCACAUAUACCAUGAUGUAACUCACGCAAGACGUAAUUUGCUUCUUCCAUGGAUAAGCAUUUCAUGAUCGGUGUAACAUACCCUCUGCGAUAUAAAUCUUCCCCGAUCAGGCAAUAUCUGGAUAUUUUCUUUGUUUCUUCAGCCUACAAAUUAUGCCCUUCGUCCUAUCGUCGUAUAAGUUGGAUGAUUUCAUCUUUCCAACAAGUCUGUUUGUUCGAAUUGGUGGGGAAAGAGAUGGCAUAGCAGCCUAUGGUCGGUUCGGAUAAUACCUGUCGGAUGACUGAAUUUAAAACCCCUUUUUCUUUUUCGUUAGCCAAUUUGGACAACCGGUCGGCGCGAGUGUUCUGCUCUCGUGGUACAUGGGUGAUUAUAAAUUCACCAAAAUGUGUUUGUAACUGCUUUGCUUUAUGGAAAUAUCGCAAUUAAUAAUCGUCUUUGACUUGGUAACUACCGUUCAUGUGCCCCUCCACCACCUGUGAAUCGGUAUAGCAUGCCAAAUUGUCUGCGCCAACAUCCCGAGCGAGUUCCAUUCCCGCAAUCAGUGCCUCGUAUUCAGCUUGAUUGUUGCUUGCCUUGAAUUUAAAGAUGAUAGAUUGUUCAAUAAUCAUAUCUUUCGGCCCUACUAACAUUAUUCCCGCUCCUCCUCCAGCUUUGCACGCUGAUCCAUCCACAUAAAGUUUCCAGGCAUGUGUAAGCAUUGUGUAUGGUAACUCCACUGCAAAUUCGGCUAAGUGUUGUCCCUUUACCGAACCUCUUGGUUCAUACUGUAACCCAAACUCGGACAGCUCAACUGACCACCCUAUCAUCCUUCCUGCUAAAUCCGGUUUGCGUAAGAUUUUAACUAUUGGGUAGUCUGUUCGGACUAUCACUUGAUAUCCUUGAAAAUAAGGCCGAAGACGAUGGGCGGCAUAUAAAAGAGAUAAGGCUACCUUCUCCAAUUUUUGAUAUCGAACUUCCGUUUCUUUCAGACUUCGACUAACAAAGUAAACCAACUUGAACUAAGGCUCUUCUUGGAUCAGAGCUGCACUAAUGGCAGUAUCAGUUACUGCCAGGAAGAUAUGCAACGCAUGACCGGGAUCUGGUCUUCCCAUGAUAGGUGGGACAGUUAGGAUUUCUUUAACUCCCUUGAACGCUUCUUCACAUUCCUCAUUCCACCCUUCAGAGGUGCUCUUUCUCAUGAGCUUCAAAAUGGGUUUAAUCUUCUCGGCUAGUUUUGGGAUGAAUCGCGAUAGGGAUGUCAACCGACCAACUAGACGUUGUAUUUCUUUUAAACUGUUCGGGCUUCGCAUUUCCAGAAUAGCCUUGCAUUUGUCGGGAUUCACUUCUAUUCCUCUAGCAGUCAGCAUGAACCCCAAAAAUCUUCCCGCGUUAACCCUGAACGUGCAUUUUGCAGGAUUCAAACUUAUCCCAUAUUUUCUAACUUGUCCCAGUACCUCCUCUAGAUCUUUGACGUGGUCUUCCAAAGAAUGGCUACGUAUAACCAUGUCAUCGACGUAUACCUCCAUACACCGUCCUAUCUGAUUCUCAAACACUUUAUCCAUAAGCCUCUGAUAGGUUGCUCCAGAAUUCUUUAGACCAAACGACAUUACAUUAUAGCAAUAUGUACCUCGUUCGGUAAUGAAGGCAAUUUUUUCUCUGUCGGGAGAGUGCAUCGGUAUCUGAUUGUACCCCGAAUAGGCGUCCAAAAAGCUUAAUACUUUAUAGCCAGAUACCCCAUCAACCAAACCAUCAAUGCUAGGAAGAGGAUAGGUGUCUUUUGGGCAGGCUUUAUUCAGAUCAGUGAAGUCUGUACACAUCCUCCAUUUACCACUAGAUUUCUUGACCAGAACUACAUUGGCCAACUAGGUAGUAUAUUUCACUUCACGAAUGAAUCCCGCAUCUAACAACUUUCGUACCUCUUCGUCUACUGCCUGUCUCUUUUCUGGUCCUAAUCUUCUUUUCUUUUGUGCGACCGGUCGAGCAUCACGAAAUAUUGACAGCUUAUGAGAAAUAAUAUCAGGGUGUAUUCCCGGCAUAUCAGAUGGUACCCAUGCAAAUAGAUCCUUAUUCUCGAACAAUAUUCUGCCCACUGCCUUCGCCUGGUCUUCACUCAAGCUCUUCCCAAUCGAUGUGUGCCUGUCCGGUUCGUUUCCUAGGCUGAUCGGUUGGGUUUCACCAAUAGGCUCCAACCGGUCAUCCGUGUUUAACCUUGGGUCUAAAUCAGCCACCACUAUCACCGAUCGAUCUUCCGAUUUCGUGUGAAGUCGUUGUCUUACUUUGAGCCCAGCCGCGUAACAUUCCCUUGCCAUCUUUUGAUUAGCACGGACGGUACACACCUUUCCCCGAUCAUCCGGAUAUUUCAAUACCAAAUGUGGCGUUGAUACAAUCGCACCAAAUGCAUUCAAGCAAGGUCGUCCUAAAAGUGCAUUGUAUGAUGUAUCUGCCUCUACCAAUAAGAAACGAACUUGAAGCUCCUUUGCAUCUUUUUCUAGUCCCAGGCUGACUUUGAGUUCUACAUACCCCCUGGUAUCUACCCGUUCUCCUGCAAAGCCUACAAUUUGCUCAUGAAAAGGUUGAAUGGCCCCUUCCGGUAUAUCCAUUUGUUCGAAUGUUUUCCAAUAUAAGAUAUUGGCUGAGCUCCCUUGGUCAAUUAACACCUUUCCCACUUGAUAUCGAGCGAUCAUAGCAACUAUCACCAUCGGGUCAUCCUGAUCGGGGUCUGAGGCAUUAAAGUCUUCAUUUGAAAAGGAGAUCACAGGCAUAGAUCUCCGUUCGGCUCCUACUUGGUUUACAUGAUAUAAACUUCGUAAAUGUCUCUUACGGGCAGAUAUCGAUGGGCCCCCUCCUGCGAACCCACCAGAAAUGGUGUUUAUGACGCCCCUUGUCACUCUUUCCCUACUCCGGCUUCUACUUCUACUCCGAUCGUGUCUACUUUUGGUCUUUUGGUGAGUUGUGGUGAUCGGUAUCAACGUCUGACGGCGUUGCACGAAUUUUUGUAAAUGUCCGGCCUGAAUCAAAUUUUCCAACUUGUCUUUCAAAGUAUUACAAUCCUCUGUAGUGUGUCCUCUGUUUUGAUGAUAUUUACAAUACUUAUUCUGAUUAGCUCCUAAAGGUGUAGGAGCUCAGACCACUUUUAACAAAUAAGCUCUCAAAGCCUCUUCCAUCACUCUGGCACGAGGAGCAUUGAGAGGUGUGUGAUGCACAUUCUGCAAUAUCCUUGGUGGAUCUACCCUUCUAAGCCCGACCGGUCGUUCAUCUCUUCUUUGCAUCCCCCUACUCGUUCCGUCUUUCCUCAUUUGUUCUCUCGGUUCAUUGUCAUGGCCUUUAUAAUGAGCUCUUCCUUCUUCGAUUCGAAUAAAACUUGCUAAUUUGUGCUGCAAGUCGGCCAUGCUUUGCGGUUCUUCUGCGUAUAGGUAAUCCACAAACGGUCUGGGCCUUAAAGCGGUAGUUAAGGCGCUGACUAUCAAUCUUUGAUCAACAUUCCGUACCUGUCGGGCCGUUCGAUUAAACCUUUCCAUGAAUCCUUUGAGCGUCUCCUCUCUUCCUUGCCUAAUUCUCAUCAAGGCCGUGUACGUCAUCCCAGGUGUUUUAUUUGAUAUAUAUUGUUGGUUGAAUAGCCUUCUAAGAGUGGCAAAAGAAUCUAUCGUUCGGGGUGCCAACGAGUGAAACCAAUCUAGAGCCUCUCCUUUCAAUGAUAAAGAAAAGACUCUGCACCAUACCGUUUCAUCCGAAGAAUACACUGCCAUGGCGUCAAUGAAGGAUCUGAGGUGUUUAAUAGGAUCCGUUGAACCCCCAUACCGUUCCAUUAUAGGCAACACCUUGUUUUCUGGCAUGCCCGUUCGCAUUACACGUGCUGUGAAUGGAUGCAGGCCUUCUGCUUGAUCAGGCACCUCAAUUUCCCGAUCGGCAAUAGUUGGAACCCGUUCGCCGGACACAUUUCGAUGACCAUCGUUGCGGCCAUUGAAAUUGGCUCCACUAUUUUCAUCCGCCACACCGUUCCUUUGACCUACGUUCGGACCAUUCUCCCCACCUCCAUGCCUGUUCUGUUCGUUUUCAUUUCCAUCCUGCUCCCCUCUAUCUCACACAUUUAUCCUUCUACCGCCUCCUCUUUCAUGUUCACCUUGUCCAUCCACUCUCCUCCCGCUAAUAUUGACCUGGAGGUUAUUAUUUCUUCUCACCCCCUCUCUCCUAGUGGCCUGAUGACCACUCUCCUCACUUUCAAUAUUCACCGUUUCUAACUGAACGGAAUGAGUAGGUAACCUGUUCUGAACUCGUUCAGCCCGCAUCGCAGCUAUUUCGGCCCUCAUUUCUUGCAUUUGACGCUGCAUUUCUUGAAGUAGCUGUAGUGAAAGGUCUCCUGCCAUUGUGAUCGUAUAAAGGCUUGUAACUAUCUCGCCCCACGGUGGGCGCCAAAAUGUUUCGGAUAGGAACGAGAUGACAAUUGAUCACUGUGGUUCUUCUCUUCACUUUAGAAUUCCUUUUGUAGUAACCUUAAAACCGAACGGUGAGUACCUGCAAGUUAGCACUCCAACACUCAAGUCAGCAAAGUUACUCCAGUAAUGAUAUUCAAAAAAUCAAUCUAACCCCUUACCUGAGUUACGCUUGUUCUAUUUAUAGAGAAAUAAUCCCGCCAUAAUAGGAGCCAUGUUAGGCUAAGUCCAGGUAUCCCGUGAUUUCCUCCGCCCACUCAGCUCCUUAGUCGUAACUGCUUCCCACUUCCUAGAUUCUCGCUCCGCCAUUCUCUCCGCCAAAUUCGCGAACUAUCUCCACUAACUACUUAGCAACCAUCAUACUGCCCUUUCGGCGCAACACUUAUCCCGACCUUCCCUGCACUCUUUCCGAUCGACCAAAACUUUCUCCUGCAACAUUAUGCGAGCCAACCAAUCAUCUCACACAAUCAUAUCUUUCCCUAUCGGUGUGAGUUCGCUCCCGAUCUUCCUUUUUGUAAUCCCGAUCUAUCUAAAUCCCUUUGUACUACAAAAAUUAUUACUUCCAUAUAACUUCUUCCCAACUUACUAUAAUAAU